AUUACUGAGUAAUUUUAAAUAAAAAAUGAGAUUUUUAGAAAUGAUUUUUCAUAGUGACUGCCAUCUAAUAAAUGCCAAAUAUAUGGGUUUUAUUAUGAAUAUUUAUGAUAUUACUGACAAUAUUUGUUACUAAUAUUUAUUAUUUAUAAUUUAUUGUUUCUGUUGAUGAAAAUAAAUCCGUGGAGCCAGCUGAAGAAAGGAUGACAGGUGGUGCUAGAUCCUCAGUUCCCAGGUACCACACCAGAAAUGCAAGAGGACCACUUCAGUAAGAGAGCAUAGUAAAUAUUUAAUGCAAACAGGACAUUCUUCAAAAUUAAAAUUCUUCAUUAAUACCGUAUCCGUCUUUCCUGCGAGCCUAGAUGUCUUCAUCACACCUGGGAAGAUCUUGAUGCUGCCUUGAUGUUGGUGAAUACAGAUGGCAGUCGAAGGAUUCCUCAUUCCCCUACUCUGACUGCUUUUUGCCACCUCAGCAUUCUCUGCUGAUGCAUUCUCGCUGAUGACUGACAAUUUCAGAGGACUGUAAAAGUGGA
rnacentral:lncRNA from 1 species